UACGUAGGGGGCAAGCGUUGUCCGGAAUCAUUGGGCGUAAAGCGCGUGUAGGCGGCUUCGUCAGUCCGUUGUGAAAGUCCAGGGCUCAACCCUGGAAUGCCGAUGGAUACUGCGGAGCUAGAGUCCGGAAGAGGCGAGUGGAAUUCCUGGUGUAGCGGUGAAAUGCGCAGAUAUCAGGAAGAACACCAAUGGCGAAGGCAGCUCUCUGGGACGGUACUGACGCUGAGACGCGAAAGCGUGGGGAGCGAACAGG
rnacentral:rRNA from 1 species